GUGCCAGCCGCCGCGGUAAUACGUAGGUGGCAAGCGUUGUCCGGAUUUAUUGGGCGUAAAGCGAGCGCAGGCGGUUUCUUAAGUCUGAUGUGAAAGCCUUCGGCUCAACCGAAGAAGUGCAUCGGAAACUGGGAAACUUGAGUGCAGAAGAGGACAGUGGAACUCCAUGUGUAGCGGUGAAAUGCGUAGAUAUAUGGAAGAACACCAGUGGCGAAGGCGGCUGUCUGGUCUGUAACUGACGCUGAGGGCUCGAAAGCAUGGGUAGCAAACAGGAUUAGAUACCCUGGUAGUCCAUGCCGUAAACGAUGAGUGCUAGGUGUUGGAGGGUUUCCGCCCUUCAGUGCCGCAGCUAACGCAUUAAGCACUCCGCCUGGGGAGUACGACCGCAAGGUUGAAACUCAAAGGAAUUGACGGGGCCCGCACAAGCGGUGGAGCAUGUGGUUUAAUUCGAAGCAACGCGAAGAACCUUACCAGGUCUUGACAUCCUUUGACCACUCUAGAGAUAGAGCUUUCCCUUCGGGGACAAAGUGACAGGUGGUGCAUGGUUGUCGUCAGCUCGUGUCGUGAGAUGUUGGGUUAAGUCCCGCAACGAGCGCAACCCUUAUUACUAGUUGCCAGCAUUUAGUUGGGCACUCUAGUGAGACUGCCGGUGACAAACCGGAGGAAGGUGGGGACGACGUCAAAUCAUCAUGCCCCUUAUGACCUGGGCUACACACGUGCUACAAUGGAUGGUACAACGAGUUGCGAGACCGCGAGGUUUAGCUAAUCUCUUAAAACCAUUCUCAGUUCGGAUUGUAGGCUGCAACUCGCCUACAUGAAGCCGGAAUCGCUAGUAAUCGCGGAUCAGCAUGCCGCGGUGAAUACGUUCCCGGGCCUUGUACACACCGCCCGU
rnacentral:rRNA from 1 species